GUCUAUAGCCAUACCACCUUGAACAAUCCCAAUCUUGUCUGAUAUAGGAAGCUAAGCAGAGUUGGGCCUGGUUAGUAUUUGGAUAGGAAAAUAUUAUUCCAUCAUUAAAA
ensembl:rRNA 5S_rRNA 5S ribosomal RNA